CGGUAACAGGGAGCUUGCUCCGCUGACGAGUGGCGAACGGGUGAGUAAUAUAUCGGAACGUACCCAAGAGUGGGGGAUAACGUAGCGAAAGUUACGCUAAUACCGCAUACGAUCUAUGGAUGAAAGCAGGGGACCUUCGGGCCUUGUGCUCCUGGAGCGGCCGAUAUCUGAUUAGCUAGUUGGUGAGGUAAAGGCUCACCAAGGCGACGAUCAGUAGCUGGUCUGAGAGGACGACCAGCCACACUGGAACUGAGACACGGUCCAGACUCCUACGGGAGGCAGCAGUGGGGAAUUUUGGACAAUGGGCGCAAGCCUGAUCCAGCAAUGCCGCGUGAGUGAAGAAGGCCUUCGGGUUGUAAAGCUCUUUUGUCAGGGAAGAAACGGCUGUGGCUAAUAUCCACGGCUAAUGACGGUACCUGAAGAAUAAGCACCGGCUAACUACGUGCCAGCAGCCGCGGUAAUACGUAGGGUGCAAGCGUUAAUCGGAAUUACUGGGCGUAAAGCGUGCGCAGGCGGUUUUGUAAGUCUGUCGUGAAAUCCCCGGGCUCAACCUGGGAAUUGCGAUGGAGACUGCAAGGCUAGAAUCUGGCAGAGGGGGGUAGAAUUCCACGUGUAGCAGUGAAAUGCGUAGAGAUGUGGAGGAACACCGAUGGCGAAGGCAGCCCCCUGGGUCAAGAUUGACGCUCAUGCACGAAAGCG
rnacentral:rRNA from 1 species